GAUGAAGAACGUAGCGAAAUGCGACAAGUAAUGUGAAUUGCAGAAUUCCGUGAAUCAUCGAAUCUUUGAACGCACAUUGCGCCCGCCAGUAUUCUGGCGGGCAUGCCUGUUCGAGCGUCAUUUCAACCCUCAAGCACAGCUUGGUGUUGGGACUCGCGUUAAUUCGCGUUCCCCAAAUUGAUUGGCGGUCACGUCGAGCUUCCAUAGCGUAGUAGUAAAACCCUCGUUACUGGUAAUCGUCGCGGCCACGCCGUUAAACCCCAACUUCUGAAUGUUGACCUCGGAUCAGGUAGGAAUACCCGCUGAACUUAAGCAUAUCAAUAAGCGGAGGA
rnacentral:misc_RNA from 1 species